rnacentral:lncRNA from 1 species
UAUAAAUAAAAAAUAUUUUUAUGGCUGUACAACGUGUUUGUGUUUUAAGCUUUAUUACAAGAGUCCAAAAGUUUAAAGAUUUUUUUAAUGCUUAUAAAGUAAAAAGUUACAGUAAACGAAGGUUAGUUAAUGAUUAAAGAAAAAAUAUUUUGCUAUAAACUUGGUGUUGCCUAAACAUACAGUGUUUAUAAAGUUUACAGUAGUAUAUAGUAAUGCCAUCAGCCUUCACAUUCACUCACCACUCACUCACUGCCUCACCCAGAGCAACUUUAGGUUCUGUGAUCUCCACUCACGGGGUUAUAGGAUCACAGAAGACAGAAUGGGCAACAAGAAGUGUAUGUCACUCUGGACAGACUUCUAAAGGUGUGCCUCUGCCAAUCAACUAA